rnacentral:rRNA from 1 species
CGAAUCGCCCUUCGGGGUGCAGCAGGCGCGAAAACUUUACAAUGCGGGAAACCGUGAUAAGGGGACACCGAGUGCCAGCAUCAUAUGCUGGCUGUCCAGGUGUGUAAAAUACACCUGUUAGCAAGGGCCGGGCAAGACCGGUGCCAGCCGCCGCGGUAACACCGGCGGCCCGAGUGGUGAUCGUGAUUAUUGGGUCUAAAGGGUCCGUAGCCGGUUUGGUCAGUCCUCCGGGAAAUCUGAUAGCUCAACUAUUAGGCUUUCGGGGGAUACUGCCAGACUUGGAACCGGGAGAGGUAAGAGGUACUACAGGGGUAGGAGUGAAAUCUUGUAAUCCCUGUGGGACCACCUGUGGCGAAGGCGUCUUACCAGAACGGGUUCGACGGUGAGGGACGAAAGCUGGGGGCACGAACCGGAUUAGAUACCCGGGUAGUCCCAGCCGUAAACGAUGCUCGCUAGGUGUCAGACAUGGCGCGACCGUGUCUGGUGCCGCAGGGAAGCCGUGAAGCGAGCCACCUGGGAAGUACGGCCGCAAGGCUGAAACUUAAAGGAAUUGGCGGGGGAGCAC